GAAGGGGUGUAUUUAUUAGAUAAAAAACCAAUGCCCUUCGGGGCUCUUUGGUGAUUCAUGAUAACUUUACGGAUCGCAUAGCCUUGCGCUGGCGACGGUUCAUUCAAAUUUCUGCCCUAUCAACUUUCGAUGGUAAGGUAUUGGCUUACCAUGGUUUCAACGGGUAACGGGGAAUUAGGGUUCGAUUCCGGAGAGGGAGCCUGAGAAACGGCUACCACAUCCAAGGAAGGCAGCAGGCGCGCAAAUUACCCAAUCCCGACACGGGGAGGUAGUGACAAUAAAUACUGAUACAGGGCUCUUUUGGGUCUUGUAAUUGGAAUGAGUACAAUUUAAACCUCUUAACGAGGAACAAUUGGAGGGCAAGUCUGGUGCCAGCAGCCGCGGUAAUUCCAGCUCCAAUAGCGUAUAUUAAAGUUGUUGCAGUUAAAAAGCUCGUAGUUGAAACUUGGGCCUGGCUGGCGGGUCCGCCCUCACCGCGUGCACUCGUCCGGCCGGGCCUUCCUUCUGAAGACCUCUGGCCUUUCCUGGGCGUGGUGGGGAAUCAGGACUUUACUUUGAAAAAUUAGAUGGUC
rnacentral:rRNA from 1 species